ensembl:lncRNA
GGGUCCUAUAGGGCCGUGGGGUCCUAUGGGGGCUGUGGGGUCCUAUGGGGUCUGUGGGGGCUGUGGGUCCCACCCGUGUCUGUGGGCCCCAUAGGGAUGUGGGGUCUGUGGGGUCCUAUGGGGUCUGUGGGGUCCUAUGGGGUCUGUGGGGUCUGUGGGCUCUGUGGGGCUGUGUGGGCUGUAGGAUCCUAUGGGGUCUGUGGGGUCCUAUGGGGGUCUGUGGGGUCUGUGGGUCCCACCCGUGUCUGUGGGCCCCAUAGGGAUGUGGGGUCUGUGGUGUCCUAUGGGAUCUGUGGGGUCCUAUGGGGUCUGUGGGCUCUGUGGGCUCUGUGGGGCUGUGUGGGCUGUGGGAUCCUAUGGGGUCUGUGGGAUCCUAUGGGGUCUGUGGGGUCUGUGGGUCCCACCCGUGUCUGUGGGCCCCAUAGGGAUGUGGGGGCUGUGGGGUCCUAUGGGGUCUGUGGGGUCUGUGGGUCCCACCCGUGUCUGUGGGCCCCAUAGGGCUGUGGGUUCUGUGGGGUCCUAUGGGGUCCUGAGGGGUCUGUGGGGUCCUAUGGGGUCUGUGGGGUCUGUGGGCUCUGUGGGGCUGUGUGGGCUGUGGGAUCCUAUGGGGUCUGUGGGAUCCUAUGGGGUCUGUGGGGUCUGUGGGUCCCACCCGUGUCUGUGGGCCCCAUAGGGAUGUGGGGGCUGUGGUGUCCUAUGGGGUCCUGUGGGGUCUGUGGGGGUCUAUGGGGUCUGUGGGGUUCUGUGGGUCCUGUGGGGGGUCCUAUGGGGUUUGUGGGUUCCUAUGGGGUCUGUGGGGUUCUGUGGGUCCUGUGGGGUCCUAUAGGGUUCUAUGGGGUUCUGUGGGGUCCUAUAGGGUUCUAUGGGGUUCUGUGGGUUCUGUGGGGUCCUAUAGGGUUCUGUGGGGUUCUGUGGGUCCUAUGGGGUUCUGUGGGUCCGGUGGGGUCCUAUAGGGUUUUAUGGGGUUCUGUGGGUCCUGUGGGGUCCUAUGGGGUUCUAUAGGGUUCUGUGGGGUUUUAUGGGGUUCUGUGGGGUUCUGUGGGUCCUGUGGGGUCCUAUAGGGUUCUAUGGGGUUCUGUGGGUCCUGUGGGGUCCUAUAGGGUUCUGUGGUGUCACAGGGUGACGCAGGGACCCCAUAGAGACCCAAAGGGGGACGGCGGCACCCCAUAGGGACCCCAUAGGGACCCCAUAGGGGAACACCCAUAGGGUGACAGCGGGACCCCGUAAAGACCCCAUAGGGGGACACUGGGACCCCAUAGGGACCCCAUAGAGACACCUAUAGGGUGACGCCAGGACCCCAUAGGGACCCUAUAGCGACCUCACGGCUGCCCCAUAUUGGGACGCCCAGAGGGGCCCCAUAGGGGGACUCCCAUAGGGUGACAGCGGGGCACAAAUAGGGUCACCCGUAGGGACCCCAUAGGGGGACUCCCAUAGGGUCAUGUAGGGGCUUUACAUGGGGUCAGCACAUGGGGGACCCUAUAGCGACCCCAUAGCAGCCCCACAGGGACCCCAUAUAAGGACCCUAAAUAGGGACCCCAUAGGGUGACACCGGGACCCCAUAGGGACCCCAUAGGGUGGCGCCAGGACCCCAUAGGGACACCAUAGGGACCCCAUAGGGGGACUCCCAUAGGG